rnacentral:rRNA from 1 species
UACGUAGGGUGCAAGCGUUGUCCGGAAUUAUUGGGCGUAAAGAGCUCGUAGGCGGUUUGUUGCGUCGGCUGUGAAAUCCCGAGGCUCAACCUCGGGUCUGCAGUCGAUACGAGCAAACUAGAGUGUUGCAGGGGAGACUGGAAUUCCUGGUGUAGCGGUGAAAUGCGCAGAUAUCAGGAGGAACACCGGUGGCGAAGGCGGGUCUCUGGGCAACAACUGACGCUGGAGGAGCGAAAGCGUGGGGAGCGAACGGG